AAAACCGGCCAAGUGCGAGUCAGACUCGCCCACCGAUGGUUCCUUACUCGGGUAUUUUUUUCAAUAUUUUGCACG